AUAGAUUAAGCCAAGCAUGUCUAAGUAUAAGCAAUCUAUACGGUGAAACUGCGAAUGGCUCAUUAAAUCAGUUAUCGUUUAUUUGAUAGUACCUAACCUACUUGGAUAACCGUGGUAAUUCUAGAGGUAAUACAUGCUAAAAACCUCGACUUCGGAAGGGGUGUAUUUAUUAGAUAAAAAACCAAUGCCCUUCGGGGCUCCUUGGUGAUUCAUAAUAACUCAACGAAUCGCAUGGCCUUGCGCCGGCGAUGGUUCAUUCAAAUUUCUGCCCUAUCAACUUUCGAUGGUAGGAUAGUGGCCUACCAUGGUGUUAACGGGUAACGGGGAAUUAGGGUUCUAUUCCGGAGAGGGAGCCUGAGAAACGGCUACCACAUCCAAGGAAGGCAGCAGGCGCGCAAAUUACCCAAUCCCGACACGGGGAGGUAGUGACAAUAAAUAACUGAUACAGGGCCCUUUCGGGUCUUGUAAUUGGAAUGAGUACAAUUAAAUCCCUACAAGAAACCAUGGG
rnacentral:rRNA from 1 species